rnacentral:rRNA from 1 species
AGAGUUUGAUCCUGGCUCAGGACGAACGCUGGCGGUGUGCUUCACACAUGCAAGUCGAACGGAGUAGCAAUACUCAGUGGCGGACGGGUGAGUAACACGUGGGAAUCUACCAUUAGGUGGGGAAUAACAGGCCGAAAGGACUGCUAAUGCCGCGUAUGUAGGCAUCUCGACAGAGAUGUUUAUGAAAGGAGUAAUCCGCCUUUUGAUGAGCCCGCGUCCGAUUAGCUAGUUGGUAGGGUAAAAGCCUACCAAGGCGACGAUCGGUAGGUGGUCUGAGAGGAUGAUCACCCACAAUGGGACUGAGACACGGCCCAUACUCCUACGGGAGGCAGCAGUGGGGAAUUUUACGCAAUGGGGGAAACCCUGACGUAGCGACACCGCGUGAGCGAAGAAGCCCUUUGGGGUGUAAAGCUCUGUCAACAGGAACGAAACAAAUGACGGUACCUGUGGAGGAAGCAUCGGCUAACUACGUGCCAGCAGCCGCGGUAAGACGUAGGAUGCAAGCGUUGUCCGGAUUUAUUGGGCGUAAAGAGUUCGUAGGCGGUUUGUUAAGUCUGAUGUUAAAGACCGGGGCUCAACCUCGGAAAUGCAUUGGAUACUGGCAGACUGGAGUGCAGUAGAGGCUAGUGGAAUUCCCAGUGUAGCGGUGAAAUGCGUAGA